rnacentral:tRNA from 2 species
GGAGAGGUGCCGGAGUGGUUGAACGGGACGGUCUCGAAAACCGUUGUGUGGCUACGCUGCACCGUGGGUUCGAAUCCCACCCUCUCCGCCA